UUUGAAAUACCGGCUCCCGUACGAUCACCGAUGUUAAGCAACGUUGAUCCUGGUCAGUACCUAGAUGGGUAACCGCUUGGCAAUACCAAGUGCUGUAA